rnacentral:rRNA from 1 species
AGUGGGGAAUUUUGGACAAUGGGCGAAAGCCUGAUCCAGCCAUGCCGCGUGCAGGAUGAAGGCCUUCGGGUUGUAAACUGCUUUUGUACGGAACGAAAAGACUCUGGUUAAUACCUGGGGUCCAUGAUGGUACCGUAAGAAUAAGCACCGGCUAACUACGUGCCAGCAGCCGCGGUAAUACGUAGGGUGCAAGCGUUAAUCGGAAUUACUGGGCGUAAAGCGUGCGCAGGCGGUUAUAUAAGACAGAUGUGAAAUCCCCGGGCUCAACCUGGGAACUGCAUUUGUGACUGUAUAGCUAGAGUACGGCAGAGGGGGAUGGAAUUCCGCGUGUAGCAGUGAAAUGCGUAGAUAUGCGGAGGAACACCGAUGGCGAAGGCAAUCCCCUGGGCCUGUACUGACGCUCAUGCACGAAAGCGUGGGGAGCAAA